GAUCAAGUGUCGUAAGGGCAUUUGGUGGAUGCCUUGGCAUGCACAGCCGAUGAAGGACGUGAUACGCUGCGAUAAGCCACGGGGAGCUGCGAAUACGCUUUGAUCCGUGGAUUUCCGAAUGGGGAAACCCACCUUUGAUACUUGGAAAAUCGAAUGAGUCGUUCGUCGUUGGUCUGUCGUGGUUCUUCGAGCUGCGAUUGACGAGCGGCGAAUUUCGACCGACUCCUUCGGUUUCCAAGUAUCGAUAAAAGGUAUCUUAUCCUGAAUACAUAGGGAUAAGAAGGGAACGCGGGGAACUGAAACAUCUAAGUACCCGUAGGAAAGGACAUCAACCGAGACUCCGUUAGUAGCGGCGAGCGAACGCGGACCAGGCCAGUGGCAAUCGGGAGACAAGCGGAACAUUCUGGAAAGAAUGGCCAUAGUGGGUGACAGCCCCGUACGCGUAAUGCGACCGAUUGUCCUUGAGUAAGACGGGACACGUGAAAUCCUGUUUGAACGUGGGGGGACCACCCUCCAAGCCUAAGUACUCGUGCAUGACCGAUAGCGAACCAGUACCGUGAGGGAAAGGUGAAAAGCACCCCGACAAGGGGAGUGAAAUAGUACCUGAAACCGGAUGCCUACAAACAGUCGGAGCGCGCAAGCGUGACGGCGUACCUUUUGUAUAAUGGGUCAACGACUUAAUGUGGCGAGCAAGCUUAAGCCGAUAGGUGUAGGCGCAGCGAAAGCGAGUCUGAACAGGGCGUUCAGUUCGUCGCAUUAGACCCGAAACCGAGUGAUCUAGCCAUGAGCAGGCUGAAGGUUGGGUAACACCAACUGAAGGGCCGAACCCGUAUCUGUUGCAAUAGAUUGGGAUGACUUGUGGCUAGGGGUGAAAGGCCAAUCAAACUCGGAAAUAGCUGGUUCUCUGCGAAAUCUAUUUAGGUAGAGCGUCAGCCGAAUACUCCCGGGGGUAGAGCACUGGAUGGGUAAUGGGGACUCACCGUCUUACUGAUCCUAACCAAACUCCGAAUACCGGGAAGUAAUAGCUGGCAGACACACGGCGGGUGCUAACGUCCGUCGUGGAGAGGGAAACAACCCUGAUCGCCGAUUAAGGUCCCCAAGUUAUGGCUAAGUGGGAAAGGAAGUGGGAAUCCCAAAACAACCAGGAUGUUGGCUUAGAAGCAGCCAUCAUUUAAAGAAAGCGUAACAGCUCACUGGUCUAAAUAAGGGUUUCUGCGCCGAAAAUGUAACGGGGCUAAAGCCAUACACCGAAAUCGCGAGCUCGAAAGAGCGGUAGCAGAGCGUUCCGCAAGUCAGUGAAGGCAGACCCGCGAGGGCUGCUGGAGAUACCGGAAGUGCGAAUGUUGACAUGAGUAACGACAAAGGGGGUGAGAGACCCCCUCGCCGAAAGUCCAAGGGUUCCUGCUUAAAGUUAAUCUGAGCAGGGUUAGUCGGCCCCUAAGGCGAGGCUGAAAAGCGUAGUCGAUGGGAAGCAGGUUAAUAUUCCUGCACCUGGAGGUAGUGACGAAUGCCGCAAGCUGUCAUCCCUUAUCGGAUUGGGGUGGCAGUGAAGGUGUUCCGGGAAAUAGCUCCUCCAUAUAGACCGUACCCGAAACCGACACAGGUGGACUGGUAGAGUAUACCAAGGCGCUUGAGAGAACUAUGUUGAAGGAACUCGGCAAAUUGCACGCGUAACUUCGGAAGAAGCGUGACCCUUUUGCGGGCAACCGCGGGAGGGUGGCACAGACCAGGGGGUAGCGACUGUUUAUCAAAAACACAGGGCUCUGCGAAGUCGCAAGACGACGUAUAGGGUCUGACGCCUGCCCGGUGCCGGAAGGUUAAAAGGAGAGGUGCAAGCCUUGAAUUGAAGCCCCGGUAAACGGCGGCCGUAACUAUAACGGUCCUAAGGUAGCGAAAUUCCUUGUCGGGUAAGUUCCGACCUGCACGAAUGGCGUAACGACUUCCCCGCUGUCUCCAACAUAGACUCAGUGAAAUUGAAUUCCCCGUGAAGAUGCGGGGUUCCUGCGGUUAGACGGAAAGACCCCGUGCACCUUUACUAUAGCUUCACACUGGUAUUCGUGACGACAUGUGUAGGAUAGGUGGUAGGCUUUGAAACCCGGGCGCCAGCCUGGGUGGAGCCACCCUUGAAAUACCACCCUUGUUGUCAUGGAUAUCUAACCGCGGCCCGUUAUCCGGGUCCGGGACAGUGUGUGGUGGGUAGUUUGACUGGGGCGGUCGCCUCCUAAAGAGUAACGGAGGCGCGCGAUGGUGGGCUCAGAGCGGUCGGAAAUCGCUCGUUGAGUGCAAUGGCAUAAGCCUGCCUGACUGCGAGACUGACAAGUCGAGCAGAGACGAAAGUCGGUCAUAGUGAUCCGGUGGUCCCGUGUGGAAGGGCCAUCGCUCAACGGAUAAAAGGUACGCCGGGGAUAACAGGCUGAUGACCCCCAAGAGUCCAUAUCGACGGGGUUGUUUGGCACCUCGAUGUCGACUCAUCGCAUCCUGGGGCUGGAGCAGGUCCCAAGGGUAUGGCUGUUCGCCAUUUAAAGCGGUACGUGAGUUGGGUUCAGAACGUCGUGAGACAGUUCGGUCCCUAUCUGCCGUGGGUGUAGGACUAUUGAUGGGAUCUGUCCCUAGUACGAGAGGACCGGGAUGGACACACCGCUGGUGGACCUGUUGUCCUGCCAAGGGCAUUGCAGGGUAGCUAUGUGUGGAAUGGAUAACCGCUGAAGGCAUCUAAGCGGGAAACCGGCCCAGAAACGAGUAGUCCCCGAGAGCCGUGGAAGACGACCACGUUGAUAGGCUGGGUGUGGAAGCAUGGCGACAUGUGAAGCUUACCAGUACUAAUAGCUCGAUAGGCUUGAUUCGUUCUCAUU
rnacentral:rRNA from 1 species